rnacentral:lncRNA from 1 species
GAUAAUUGAGAGAGGAGAGAGAGAGAUAUCGCAGCCACGAUUUGGAGGAAAAAGGGAAAUUAGUUUGGGCUAUUUCUUGGGCCGAUUUUAUUACGAGGCUAAGCAGCUGGACCAGAGUUAAUCGGAGUAGGCUGAUUCCUUUUCUGAAUGAGAGCCCAGGCAUAUUUUAAGAAGAAUGAAUUGCGAUGGUUUUUUUUAUUUGGUCCAAUUUCUUUUAUUGGGUUGCCUUAUAUUGCUCCCAAUUAAUCAUUAGGCUGCCUUAUUAUUUAGCCCAAUUAAAGACUAGUCUAGAUUAAUCUAUUAAUUGGAUUUAGCUAGUUCUAAUUACGGAUUAAUUUAGAAUGAUGAUUAUUAAUUAGUAAGUGGGUUAGCAUACCCAAAGAUGAGUGAAUUAAUUAAGAUUAUUA